rnacentral:rRNA from 1 species
CCUACGGGAGGCAGCAGUAGGGAAUCUUCCGCAAUGGGCGAAAGCCUGACGGAGCAACGCCGCGUGAGUGAUGAAGGUCUUCGGAUCGUAAAACUCUGUUAUUAGGGAAGAACAUAUGUGUAAGUAACUGUGCACAUCUUGACGGUACCUAAUCAGAAAGCCACGGCUAACUACGUGCCAGCAGCCGCGGUAAUACGUAGGUGGCAAGCGUUAUCCGGAAUUAUUGGGCGUAAAGCGCGCGUAGGCGGUUUUUUAAGUCUGAUGUGAAAGCCCACGGCUCAACCGUGGAGGGUCAUUGGAAACUGGAAAACUUGAGUGCAGAAGAGGAAAGUGGAAUUCCAUGUGUAGCGGUGAAAUGCGCAGAGAUAUGGAGGAACACCAGUGGCGAAGGCGACUUUCUGGUCUGUAACUGACGCUGAUGUGCGAAAGCGUGGGGAUCAAACAGGAUUAGAUACCCUGGUAGUCCACGCCGUAAACGA